GUGCUUGCUUUGGCAGCACAUAUACUAAAAUUGGAACGAUACAGAGAAGAUUAUCAUGGCACCAGCACAAAGAUGACAUGCACAUUUUUGAAUUGUCCAUAUUUUGU